rnacentral:rRNA from 1 species
ACUUUCAACAACGGAUCUCUUGGCUCUCGCACGAUGAAGAACGUAGCGAAGUGCGAUAAGUAAUGUGAAUUGCAGUAUUCCGUGAAUCAUCGAAUCUUUGAACGCAAAUUGCACUCUCCCCUUGGAGAGAAUGCCUGUUUGAGGGUCUGUA